AUCUGUUUGAACUGUAAUGACAUGGUCAGUCAACUGAUUUGUUGCAAAGCUGAUUACAGGUAAUUAUAACAUACAGUAAUUUUCCAUUACGACAGUGCGUGUACUCUCCGGUGUGUAUAACGUAAAGUUUUCUAGAGAACAUCCUGUCUACGUGUAAUACAGAUUGAUGGCAUUACACACAAUUUCUUUUGUUAAAUGUGCUUAGGUAUCUGUGUCUAUUCCCUAUUUAAACACCACAAAUUUUUCGAAGAAAUUAAUAAAAAAAAUCAAUUAUAUGAAAUAAAGAAGAAAAGUAGCAAAUAUCAACUUCAGUAACUAGUAACUGCGCAUUGAGUAAACAUAAUUUCAAUAUUGCAUGAACCAACAAAUGGAAGUUUUUAACGAAUACAGCCCUUGCACGGUCGGUAAUGAAUCAACCCUUGACAAAACGUAU
rnacentral:lncRNA from 1 species